rnacentral:rRNA from 1 species
AGAGUGAACGCUGGCGGCAGGCCUAACACAUGCAAGUCGAACGGCAGCACAGCAGUAGCAAUACUGUGGGUGGCGAGUGGCGGACGGGUGAGGAAUACAUCGGAAUCUACCUUGUCGUGGGGGAUAACGUAGGGAAACUUACGCUAAUACCGCAUACGAACUACGGUUGAAAGCGGCGACCGCAAGGCGUCGCGCGAUUGGAUGAGCCGAUGUCCGAUUAGCUA